rnacentral:misc_RNA from 1 species
GAUGAAGAACGUAGCGAAAUGCGAUACUUGGUGUGAAUUGCAGAAUCCCGUGAACCAUCGAGUCUUUGAACGCAAGUUGCGCCCGAAGCCAUCAGGUUGAGGGCACGUCUGCCUGGGCGUCACAUAUCGUUGCCCAAUGCCUAUUGCAGUGCAAUAGGAAUUUCUAGGGCGAAUGAUGGCUUCCCGUGAGCGUUGUUGCCUCGCGGUUGGUUGAAAAUCGAGUCCUUGGUAGGGUGUGCCAUGGUAGAUGGGGGUCGAGUUAGAACGAUACCGAUCAUGUGCAUGCUCCCCAAAAUAUGGCCUCUAUGACCCACACGCGUCUUUUGACGCUCAUGACGAGACCUCAGGUCAGGCGGGGCUACCCGCUGAAUUUAAGCAUAUCAAUAAGCGGAGGA